GACGAUUAGACAGGCGCAGCUUGACGAUUCCGUGGGACAUUGGAGAUGAACAAACUACAACAACCACAUCUCGAAUUCCUUCAGAUCAUUCAGAGUGAUAACACUAAGAAUGAGUGUGAACAUGAUACGGAAGAUGAUCAAAUUCUAACUCCCAAGAAGGUGCCAGAUAAGUUAACAGUAAUUGUUUCUUAAGAUUCUACCGUGCCUAAUGCCCGUUUUGUAUUUUUUUAACAGUGUCAUGGCGGAGGGCGCAGGCUAGGUGGGCACCUUCGUGGUUGUUGCGUUCGUCCGCCUGCUUCGGAGUUGCAUGGGGUUAUCGCACAGCUGCUUCGCCGCUUAUCUUCUGAUGCAGGCUUGCAGCUGAGGUUCCAAGGAUUGAUCGUGGACUGAAAGCCAAUGUGAAUGCAAUCUGGUCUAGCAUGUAGCAACUGAACACCCGUCUGAAUCAAGCGAAUUCUUGAUUGACGAGCCUAUCUAUUUGUUGACAGUGCUACUUGCAUUUUCAAAAGACAAAGCAAGCAAUUGAGUGUUGUACGCCGGUGCAUGCAUGCAGCUGGUGUCAGUUUCCUACUUGCUAAUGCUGAAUUUUCCCCAUCUUGUCAACCACCUAAAUUGUCAGUUUUCAGGUAGCUUGGAUUAGCCAAACUGCUGAAGAAUUGUAGUUCUAAAAUUACUGAAACGUGCUGCAAC
rnacentral:lncRNA from 1 species